rnacentral:misc_RNA from 1 species
CAAAUUCAAAAACAAAACAGUGUUAAAUUUCUAUAAAUAAGAUGCUCUGUCCUUCUCCCAGGACACAAAACCAGCCAUGGCUACUGCUAAAUCCUUUACUCGUUUACUUUUGAUCACUUUUCUCUCACUAAGCUUUUGCUUUUCUGUCAUUAAAGCACAAAGCUCUGCUCCUAUAGUGAAUGGUCUUUCAUGGACAUUUUACAAGUCUACCUGCCCUAAAGUAGAAUCCAUCA